rnacentral:rRNA from 1 species
UACGGAGGGUGCAAGCGUUAUCCGGAUUCACUGGGUUUAAAGGGUGCGUAGGUGGCUUUGUAAGUCAGUGGUGAAAUCUUAGAGCUUAACUCUAAAACUGCCAUUGAUACUGCUUAGCUUGAAUCAAGUAGAGGUGGAUGGAAUAUUACAUGUAGCGGUGAAAUGCUUAGAUAUGUAAUAGAACACCGAUUGCGAAGGCAGUUCACUAUGCUUGUAUUGACACUGAGGCACGAAAAGCGUGGGGAUCAAACAGG